GAGACAGCAGUAGCCGCGGUAAUACGUAGGUCCCGAGCGUUGUCCGGAUUUAUUGGGCGUAAAGCGAGCGCAGGCGGUUAGAUAAGUCUGAAGUUAAAGGCUGUGGCUUAACCAUAGUACGCUUUGGAAACUGUCUAACUUGAGUGCAAGAGGGGAGAGUGGAAUUCCAUGUGUAGCGGUGAAAUGCGUAGAUAUAUGGAGGAACACCGGUGGCGAAAGCGGCCCUCUGGCUUGUAACUGACGCUGAGGCUCGAAAGCGUGGGGAGCAAACAGGAUUAGAUACCCGGGUAGUCCCUGUCUCUUAUAAC
rnacentral:rRNA from 1 species